rnacentral:rRNA from 1 species
UACGAGGGGGGCAAGCGUUGUUCGGAAUUACUGGGCGUAAAGGGCUCGUAGGUGGCCAACUAAGUCAGACGUGAAAUCCCUCGGCUUAACCGGGGAACUGCGUCUGAUACUGGAUGGCUUGAGUUCGGGAGAGGGAUGCGGAAUUCCAGGUGUAGCGGUGAAAUGCGUAGAUAUCUGGAGGAACACCGGUGGCGAAGGCGGCAUCCUGGACCGGCACUGACACUGAGGAGCGAAAGCCAGGGGAGCAAACGGG